rfam:Oryza sativa Japonica Group DNA, chromosome 11, cultivar: Nipponbare, complete sequence.
AAAAAGACAAACCCUGGUUUCCGUGUCCAACAUUUGACCGUCCGUCUUAUUUAAAAAAAUAUGAAAAAAAUUAAAAAGAUAAGUCACGCAUAAAGUAUUAAUCAUGUUUUAUCAUCUAACAACAAUGAAAAUACUAAUUAUAAAAAUUUUUCAUAUAAGACGGACAGUCAAACGUUGGCACGGAAACCCACGGUUUGCCUUUUU